rnacentral:rRNA from 1 species
AAUAAAGAGAACAUGAUGUUGGUUCAGAUCUAAUGCUAUGUAGAGACAUAACACAUGCAAGUUAAUAAAUUAAGCGUUAAGGUGAGUAUUAUAAGAUAAUUAAUUAAUCUUAUACAGAUGUAGGUAAUAGAUAUUUCUAGCCAUGGAACUGAAGCCGAUGAUAAACGUCACAACGGCCACAUUGAUAUAAAUCAACUCUUAUAAAGAGCAGCAGUGGGGAAUCUUUGACAAUGGUCUAACGACUGAUCAAGUUAUCUACGAGAAAAAUAUUAAAAAAAGAAUUAAUAAAAGAUAAACUAUAAAUUUCUAAAUAAUAGUAAUAAUGAUACUAAUUAUGAAAGAGUCCUAACUAAAAUAUGUGCCAGCAGCUGCGGUUAGACAUAGAGGGCAAGCAUUGAUCAGAAUGGCUUAAAGGAUCUGUAGAACGUAUAAUAAAUAUAGAAUAAUAAAAGGGUAAUAAGAAUUAAAGUUAGAGGGAUAAAAUCCUAAGAAAACAUUAAGACUAUAAAGAGAUUACUUAAAAUUAUUGACGUUGUGAGAUGAAGGCUACGGUAGCGACAUGGAUUCGAUACCCAUUUAGUCGUAGCAGUAAACGAUGAAUACAAUAAAAAGAAAAAUGAAAAUGAAUAGUAUUCCGCCUGACUAGUACGCUCGCAAGGGUGAAAUACAAGACAUUAGACGGUUGUAGUCCCAAGCAGUGGAACAUGUCAUUUAAUUGGAUGAUCCUCCAAAAACCUUACCAUCUAUUGAAUAUUUUACAGGCGUUACAUCGUUGUCGUCAGUUCAUGCCGUGAGGUUUAAUAUUAAGUUAUUGAAUGAACGUAACCCUUUUCUAAUAAUAAAGAUAAGUAUAAUUGUAAAAUUAUAGGAAGUAGAGGUUGAAGACUAAUCAUGAUGACCCUAAUGAGAUGGGCUAUCGACGUGUUACAAUAUUAAUAACAAUUAAAUUAAGACCGCACCGAAGGUGCGGUCAUAUUAAGUAAAAUUAAAUAUUAAGAAAAAGACAUAGUUUCAUUUAUGGAUUGUAAUCUGAAAUUCGGUUACAUAAAGGAGGAAUUGCUAGUAAUCGUAAACAAUAGAGUUACGGUGAAAUUUUUUGCUACUUCGUACUAACCACUCAUCAACAGCAAGAAAUUUAAUUUUGACCCCUGAUCCUUAUAAAAUUUAUGAGGGACUUAUUGAGUUUAUAUUUAAAGGACUUGCUGUAAGUUGAAAUACGGUUCGGUUAGGGGAACCUGAUCGGGAUUUAUUUAUUUA